rnacentral:rRNA from 1 species
AGCGAACGUUAGCGGCGCGCCUAACACAUGCAAGUCGCACGAGAGGGGGCAACCCUGAAAGUGGCGCACGGGUGCGUAACACGUAGAAAAUCUGCCCUUCGAAGGGGGAUAACGUUCCGAAAGGAGCGCUAAUACCGCAUAACGCCGCGUCCCGUUUUCUGGAUGCGGACAAAGGCGGGGACCGUAAGGCCAGGCACCGGAGGAGGAGUCUGCGGCCCAGCAGCUAGUGGGCGAGGUAAUGGCUCACCAAGGCAAAGACGGGUAGCUGGUCGGAGAGGAUGAUCAGCCACACUGGUACUGGAACACGGACCAGACUCCUACGGGAGGCAGCAGUGGGGAAUCUUGGUCAAUGGGCGCAAGCCUGAACCAGCGACGCCGCGUGAGUGAUGAAGGCCUUCGGGUUGUAAAGCUCUGUGGGGAGGGACGAAAGACUGAGGUCUAAUAGGCUUCAGGUUGACGGUACCUCCUUAGCAAGCACCGGCUAACUCUGUGCCAGCAGCCGCCGUAAUAC